rnacentral:tRNA from 15 species
GGGCGUAUAGCUCAGUUGGUUAGAGCGUUCCCUUCACACGGGAGAGGUCACAAGUUCGAAUCUUGUUACGCCCACCA